UACGGAGGGUGCAAGCGUUAUCCGGAUUCACUGGGUUUAAAGGGUGCGUAGGCGGGCAGGUAAGUCCGUGGUGAAAUCUCUGAGCUUAACUCAGAAACUGCCAUGGAUACUAUUUGUCUUGAAUAUUGUGGAGGUAAGCGGAAUAUGUCAUGUAGCGGUGAAAUGCUUAGAUAUGACAUAGAACACCAAUUGCGAAGGCAGCUUACUACACAGUAAUUGACGCUGAGGCACGAAAGCGUGGGGAGCAAACAGG
rnacentral:rRNA from 1 species